rnacentral:rRNA from 1 species
CAAUAGCGUAUAUUUAAGUUGUUGCAGUUAAAAAGCUCGUAGUUGGAUUUCUGUCAAGGACAACUGGUCCGCCCUCCGGGUGAGCACAUAGUUUGGUCUUGGCAUCUUGCUGGAAACUGUUGCUGCGCUUGGUUGUGUGGUGCAGCUUUCAGCACUUUCACUUUGAGGAAAUUGGAGUGUUUCAAGCAGGCACAUGCCUUUGGACACAGUAGCAUGGAAUAAUUAGAUUGGGCUUUUGCUCCAACUUGUUGGUUCCUGGAGCUGAGGUGAGAAUCAAUGGGGAUUGUUGGGGGCAUCCGAAUUUAGCCGUCAGAGGUGAAAUUCUUGGAUCUGCUAAAGACGGACAACUGCGAAAGCGUUUGCCCAGGAUGUUUUCAUUG